CAAUGGAGAAGGAAGCGCAGUAGCUUUAUUAUCUGUCAGUAUAUCCUAUAAACUAAAAAAUAAAAGCUUUAAAUACACUAUUGACCGUUGCCCUGUAAACAGUUACCAGGGCCCCAUUGCAAGAAUUGUCUACAGCUGUGUCAACAGAGGUUGCCUGCUCGCUACACACCGGUGUGACGGCCCAGGACAGCUUGAGAAACAGAAGCAAAAAUCCCUGCGUCCAGCCCAAGAGUGGCCGUGGGCUCCUCCUGCCUCGCUCAGAGUCAGAAUCAAAUAAGGUGGUGAAGGUCCGAGCGCCCAUUUGACCUGCAGCUACUCUGAAGGUACUUCUAAGAUGCAUUUCAAAGAUGAAGAAGCAUCUUUUGUGCUCUCUGCCAGCCAAGGAUCCUUCAGAUUGAAAGGGAAGCAGUCAGGACGGCAGACCCAUCUCAGAGAUCAAGUGAAAUGGUGCCAGAACAGGGCUCCGGGGAUGGCUUGCUUUCCCACAGAUGAUGAUCGGGAGUGGAACACCCCCACACCCUCAGGCCAGCAUCGGCUUGUGGAAAGCUGGGCAGCGAGAGAAGCCUUCCAGCCUCCACCUUGGAUCCAUGCUUGGAAUCUGGAAGAAUCCUGCUGGACACCUGGGAUGAUCUUUCAUGAAUCUCUCCCAUAUUUUUCUUAUUUUCUUUAAUAUUUUAUACAUACAGAAAUAUGUGUAACAUAUGUGUUAGUUAUAAGCAUAAUUACAAAAUGGAAAUCUGUAAGUCUACCACCCCAUCCGAGGAUGAAAGUGUUUCCAGGAACACUGCAUGUGCUUAGCCAUUUGCUCCGCUUUUUUCCCAGAAGUAACCAAGAUCCUGGGUUUUGUGCUCUUCAUGAAUCCCCUUGCUAAGACAAAACCAAAGCAAAACAAAGAUAUUAUAGCCUGUAGUUAAAUAUUUUGCUUUAAAAUUUGCCUCUUGUUUUCCCUGCUUUUAAGAGCUUUGCCAAGAUGGGAGUAUGUGUACAGUUUUUUGGAACUUGCACUUCUUUACCUAACAUUGUGUUUCAAAGAUCUGCUGGUGUUGCAUGUGGCUGUAGCUCAUUCAUUUACUGUUGAAUGACAUUCCUUUCUGGGAAUAUAUCACAGUACGUUGUAUUACCUGUCAACUGUCAUCUGUAGUGUUUCCCAUAUUUUUCACUCCAUAUAUAUUACACUGAGCGGGGGUGGGGUGGAGGUGGCAGGGGGAGGCGGGGAACCUGGUACAUUUAGCCCAGUCAUUUGAGAUAUAACUCUUUUCAAGUAAACAGUUUUUAUAAAGUGAAAAUGAGCAACCAGCUCCAGUUCCAAAAUAAGGGAAAUUUAUAGGAUACCUGAGGAAAACUGCAUAAAACAAAAUGUGCCACACAUUGGCAGUGUAGGUGUAAAGACUCCAAUUAAUGUUUUACUAUGUGGUUUUAUUUCCAAGGUUGAAAAAAUAAGUUUGACUUUGGUAUGUAGAAUGUAAUAAUUGAAGAAAAUACAAAUCACCUUUUAUGUGUAAUCAAGGUAGAGCUGAAAGGCAAUCUAAAUUUUGAUUCUCUUUGUCUAAAUAUUAAGGCAUAUAAUUAAAAAUCUAACUUAACUAUCUAAAAUAAUUUAAUCUUAUUGACAUCUUAGUACUUUAGGAUAAAACAGCAUUUUAAAAAAUCACAGAGGAAAAGUCAUUUUCUUAAAAAAAAAUCCUACAAUUUAAGUAACUGUAUGCAUUCCUCUUUAUUCCAUAUACCUCUUAUGUUCUCAGGGACAAAUGAAUGAAUUUACUAAUACUAAAACUAUAUUGUGUAGUAUUUAAAGAUUUUAUAUUAGCAUCACUCCUUUAAAAACUCAACUCUAAACUUUUGUCUUAAUUUAGAUGUAUUGUAAAAUCCUGAAUACUAAAUAUAAUGAAGAUAUGAUAUUGAUAUUCCUUUACAUUGAAUUGCAAAAUGGAUCUGUAGGCAUCAAGACCAACUUCAUGUAGGGUAUUGUCUGGAGAAAUAUUUUAAAAUAAAAUUUAAAAAUAUAAGUAGAUCAAAUUUUAAUUAUUCAUAUGGCAGUGCNNNNNNNNNNNNNNNNNNNNNNNNNNNNNNNNNNNNNNNNNNNNNNNNNNNNNNNNNNNNNNNNNNNNNNNNNNNNNNNNNNNNNNNNNNNNNNNNNNNUUAAUUAUUCAUAUGGCAGUGCCUACUUUUAAAAUGAUACGUGCGAAGUUUCAAUUUCUUUUUAAAGAUUCUAAUUUCCUUCUUUCUUUGUUAAUGUCCAGGAAUAUCUAAAACUGGAACAUUUUAAAAUUAAGUUGAAUUUCAGCUAAACAAAACAAUCCCGUAUGAAUGACUUAAGUAAGAAAAGAUUUAUUUCCUUCUAUCCAACUGACUCACUGAAUUGAGCUAAAAAUUUCCAAGAGGCAAAUGAUGUAGGGAAUAAAUAUAGGGGGGAAAGGGCUAGGUUUCCAAUAUAAUAGCUUUUGAUUUGUUUUCAGCUCUGAAUUAAAAAAAUUAUUUACGAACGAUGG
ensembl:lncRNA